rnacentral:rRNA from 1 species
GAUGAACACUAGCGGCAGGCCUAACACAUGCAAGUCGAGGGGUAUAGGCUUUCGGGCCUAGAGACCGGCGCACGGGUGCGUAACGCGUAUGCAAUCUACCUUGUACAGGGGGAUAGCCCAGAGAAAUUUGGAUUAAUACCCCAUGGUAUUUUAGGGUGGCAUCACCUUAUUAUUAAAGUUCCAACGGUACAAGAUGAGCAUGCGUCCCAUUAGCUAGUUGGUAUGGUAACGGCAUACCAAGGCAAUGAUGGGUAGGGGUCCUGAGAGGGAGAUCCCCCACACUGGUACUGAGACACGGACCAGACUCCUACGGGAGGCAGCAGUGAGGAAUAUUGGUCAAUGGGCGCAAGCCUGAACCAGCCAUGCCGCGUGCAGGAUGACGCAUCUAUGGUGUGUAAACUGCUUUUGUACGGGAAGAAACCACUCUACGUGUAGAGUAUUGACGGUACCGUAAGAAUAAGGAUCGGCUAACUCCGUGCCAGCAGCCGCCGUAA